rnacentral:tRNA from 1 species
GCGAUUGUAGCUUAAUUGGAUUGAGCAUUUGGCUACGAACCAAAAGGUUGGGGGUUCGAGUCCCUUCAAUCGCACCA